rnacentral:lncRNA from 1 species
UCCUCCUCUACUUUCCAUCAAUCAAACGACUCCUAUACAUAAUUUUUUGAUCUAGAGCUCAUUUGCUAUAACUAUGUCAUCCAGCUUUUUCUUAGCUACUUGGGAUCAAUAGGAGACUUCAGAGAACAGGUUCCAGGAUCCUUUCGUUACAAUUCUCCCAGUGACUAAAGCAGGCCGCAUAGGAUCAGAUAAGACCAGAGCUCAUCAUGGUCCAAGUGGCCCGCCCAGCCCAAAAUUUAGUAGGCUUGGGC